GAGGGUAUAUCUCAGUGGUAGAGAGUGUACUUAGCAUAUAGAAAGUCCUGGGUUCAAUCCCCAGUACCUCCA
rnacentral:tRNA from 1 species